CCUACGGGCGGCAGCAGUAGGGAAUAUUGCUCAAUGGGGGAAACCCUGAAGCAGCAACGCCGCGUGGAGGAUGAAGGUUUUCGGAUUGUAAACUCCUUUUGUUAGAGAAGAUAAUGACGGUAUCUAACGAAUAAGCACCGGCUAACUCCGUGCCAGCAGCCGCGGUAAUACGGAGGGUGCAAGCGUUACUCGGAAUCACUGGGCGUAAAGAGAGCGUAGGCGGGAUAGCAAGUCAGAUGUGAAAUCCUAUGGCUUAACCAUUGAACUGCAUUUGAAACUGUUAUUCUAGAGUAUGGGAGAGGUAGGUGGAAUUCUUGGUGUAGGGGUAAAAUCCGUAGAGAUCAAGAGGAAUACUCAUUGCGAAGGCGACCUGCUAGAACAUAACUGACGCUGAUGCGCGAAAGCGUGGGGAGCAAACAGGAUUAGAUACCCCGGUAGUC
rnacentral:rRNA from 1 species